rnacentral:lncRNA from 1 species
UCCCAUCUCUUUAUCAGUACCAACACACUUGCUCACUUGAUUGAAAUUGAGGAUUGUUUGUUGUAAUCAAUUUUAGGAUGUAAUUUUAGGGAUGGGUGGCUAGAUUGUAAUCAAUUUUGAGUUUCUAUGUUUGAAGAAAUUAUAAUUUUUUGUAACUUUGUUCCCUCACAGUUUUGCGCUUGUCUUCUAAGUGUAUAUUGUUGUUGCUCAUUGAUAUGUAGCUAUAAGUGUACUAUCGGUGAAAGAAUUAGUUAAGGGGCUUUUGUGUAUGUUGGAGAAGGCUUUCGUUUUGUUGUUGGCUGUUUGUUUGCUUGUAUUUGUUUUUUUUUUGGGGUUAUGAGUGAGUGGUGGUGCUGAUUGGUAUGAUGAAGGUUACAGUACCGGUACGGCGGAGUUGCAGUGACAGAGAGAGUAGAGCUGUAGCAGGAAGAAGAGAGAAAGUUGUUUCUUUUAUUUUAUUUUUAUUAUUAUUAUUAAACAAAUAAUCUGGACCAUUAGAUUUUUUUUUGCCACAUGGCAAAC